rnacentral:tRNA from 16 species
UCGUCGAUGGCGCAGUCGGUAACGCUGCCGCCUUUCGCGCGGGAGGUCACAGGUUCGAUGCCGUUUUGGUGAA